AAUAUUCUGCCCGGUACGCGGACUGUUGCAAAAUAACCCUACAAAGAUUUAAUCGGGAGUUUGGCUCCGGCAGUGGACUUCAGACCUCCCGGCUUCGGCCGGACGAAGGGAGUAUGAAGCUGUUGGGCGGACACCCACCUGCUGUUUGGUAGCAGGUUAUCUUAGCACAUUACGGCCGGGUGGAAUUCCU
rnacentral:other from 1 species